UGAGGAAUAUUGGUCAAUGGGCGGGAGCCUGAAACAGCCAAGCCGCGUGAAGGAAGAAGGCGCCAGGCGUCGUAAACUUCUUUUGUCGGGGAACAAAGGGCGCCACGCGUGGCGUUGUGAGUGUACCCGAAAGAAAAAGCAUCGGCUAACUCCGUGCC
rnacentral:rRNA from 1 species